GACGAACGCUGGCGGCGUGCUUAACACAUGCAAGUCGAACGGAAAGGCCCUGCUUUUGUGGGGUGCUCGAGUGGCGAACGGGUGAGUAACACGUGAGUAACCUGCCCUUGACUUUGGGAUAACUUCAGGAAACUGGGGCUAAUACCGGAUAGGAGCUCCUGCUGCAUGGUGGGGGUUGGAAAGUUUCGGCGGUUGGGGAUGGACUCGCGGCUUAUCAGCUUGUUGGUGGGGUAGUGGCUUACCAAGGCUUUGACGGGUAGCCGGCCUGAGAGGGUGACCGGCCACAUUGGGACUGAGAUACGGCCCAGACUCCUACGGGAGGCAGCAGUGGGGAAUAUUGCACAAUGGGCGGAAGCCUGAUGCAGCAACGCCGCGUGCGGGAUGACGGCCUUCGGGUUGUAAACCGCUUUCGCCUGUGACGAAGCGUGAGUGACGGUAAUGGGUAAAGAAGCACCGGCUAACUACGUGCCAGCAGCCGCGGUGAUACGUAGGGUGCGAGCGUUGUCCGGGUUUAUUGGGCGUAAAGGGCUCGUAGGUGGUUGAUCGCGUCGGAAGUGUAAUCUUGGGGCUUAACCCUGAGCGUGCUUUCGAUACGGGUUGACUUGAGGAAGGUAGGGGAGAAUGGAAUUCCUGGUGGAGCGGUGGAAUGCGCAGAUAUCAGGAGGAACACCAGUGGCGAAGGCGGUUCUCUGGGCCUUUCCUGACGCUGAGGAGCGAAAGCGUGGGGAGCGAACAGGCUUAGAUACCCUGGUAGUCCACGCUGUAAACGGUGGGUACUAGGUGUGGGGUCCAUUCCACGGGUUCCGUGCCGUAGCUAACGCUUUAAGUACCCCGCCUGGGGAGUACGGCCGCAAGGCUAAAACUCAAAGGAAUUGACGGGGCCCCGCACAAGCGGCGGAGCAUGCGGAUUAAUUCGAUGCAACGCGUAGAACCUUACCUGGGUUUGACAUGGAUCGGGAGUGCUCAGAGAUGGGUGUGCCUCUUUUGGGGUCGGUUCACAGGUGGUGCAUGCCUGUCGUCAGCUCGUGUCGUGAGAUGUUGGGUUAAGUCCCGCAACGAGCGCAACCCUUGUUCACUGUUGCCAGCACGUUAUGGUGGGGACUCAGUGGAGACCGCCGGGGUCAACUCGGAGGAAGGUGGGGAUGACGUCAAGUCAUCAUGCCCCUUAUGUCCAGGGCUUCACGCAUGCUACAAUGGCUGGUACAGAGAGUGGCGAGCCUGUGAGGGUGAGCGAAUCUCGGGAAGCCGGUCUCAGUUCGGAUUGGGGUCUGCAACUCGACCUCAUGAAGUCGGAGUCGCUAGUAAUCGCAGAUCAGCAACGCUGCGGUGAAUACGUUCCCGGGGCU
rnacentral:rRNA from 1 species